AGGCGUGUACGGGCUGGGCGAAGCGCGCAACGACUGGGACCUGAUCUACCACGUGUCGUGCGAGGGACGGGCGAGGAAAAGAAAAGAUGCUCGGCGAGAAAAAAAGAGGUCGCGACCAGGAGAAAAGGAGGCCGCGUACCCUAAUCCAGAUUCCCUGUCGCUGCCUCUCGCCGGCCUCCACGCGAGUCCUGGCCCCGCCGCCACCGCUCUCUCUCCUCCUUGCCCUCGUAGCAGUGGCGGCCUCGGCCUACUACGAGGAUGAGGGUGGCGCAGACCCCAGAUGCCCAAAGCUCUCGCGAGCACGAGCAUCACAGCCGUGGCGCUUGUGAGGACUGCCAUAGAGGAAGGUGGUGUUGCGGCAGGACUGGCUGGUCGCGGAUCUUUAGGAGAGGAGGACGAGUGAGGCCAGCAAUCAGCACGGCAGGGACACCAUGCCGUGUGCGGAGACUCUCCUCCCCGACUUCUCCGUUUCUUUGAAUCUUCGAUGCGAUCCCCGAAGAGCCUAUGAAGAAUCUGGGGGGUGAGUUUGAUGAUUGAGGACGAGGAGCCAAGCACACACGACAAACCAAUUCAAGUCAGGUUUAAGGCACCGACAGGUCUAACCAGCAGGGGUGCUCACUCACACCUAAGGAAGAAGAUCAAGAAGCGGAACUGGUAUAGGAAUCGUAUGAAGAUUUGGAUCCGGGCUAGCGAGAGCAAGGACAAGUUUUGAUUUGUAUCUUAUGCGGAUUUUGCGAGGAGAUGCUGCCUUUCGUUGCGAUGUUGGGGGCUUUUACAGUGCUGCGGGUUGCUGCUCUGCAAUGAUGUUAGCGAUGGCGACACAAGCAAGAACACAGUCCCCAAAUGGUUUGCUCUUUAUUUGUGGACCAAUAUUACAAUAUACGACACGAGACAGGAGACUAGGUGCAUAACCUUUUAUCAAGAUACCAUCAGAACUGGUAGGGCAUGUUCUGAUUGAGUCAUGGAAUAUGUAACAACAAUGCCUUUGACAUUGGAAAUCUGAUCUUUCUCAACUUCAGGCUAUGUUUCUCAAUAUAGGCCUCUUAUAUGUGUGGUCUCCUUGUAUUUGGUUGUCGCCAGCGGGGAAUGGAAAGGUGAAGACAAGAUCUCCACGACACCGCAUCCUGCUGCCAAGUUCAUCUUUGAUUGGUUUGCGACUGCACAUGCCAGAGAUCAAGAAUAAGGAAUUAUGGGUUCACAAGACCAUAAGUUUACUAUUGUUGGUGAAAUAGUAUCCCUCAGUUACUUUCAUAGUUUCAUGCAUAGGGGUUCGAUCAUCUGCGGGGAUGCUUAUAUAUACUUUGAACCUUCCGCUACACCUGGUUUUUCCAAAAUUCUAUCAUCUUUGCGGGAAGUUAUGGAAGUAUCAUUCAUAUUUUAAAUCAUUUUCUUCUAUGACUGCUCAGGGUGUUUAAAGCUAAAUUACGUGCGCUUGUAUUGUAUUUAACCACUCAACAAUAUAUUUGCUCCAAGAACUUUCCCCGAAAGCUGAUUUCUCAUUAUCUCCAUUUCCCAAUUCCUUCUGGUGCUCAUGCCGAUUGCUGGAAGAAUCCUAAUGGAAUUUGAAAAUAUUGCUGCAGAUGGAUAGGUAAAUUUCAUGUUUCAGCUAGAAUGCCCGUCGCUGCUGACACCAGACAAAUUUCAGAAUGCCAAUUCUAUGGAGAAACAACAGAUGAUUGCUAGAUGACAAGAACCCUUCCCUGCUGAUGCACUACAUCACCCCCUGCCCUGAUGUUCCAGCUCUACAAGCUUUGCUGCUGAACUCUGUUUGCUCUGUGUGUGCUCAUUUUAUCAGUGUACACCAUCAGUUUGAUGUGUGCUAAUUAGUUCAGGCAUCAUUUCAACCUUGUAUGUAAAGUAAACUCGUGUAACCAUCUACCUGUAUCAGCCACUGUGUUGUGUUUCCAUCAAGCAAAAUCAAAUGUAUAAUUUGUUUUCUGGUAA